rnacentral:ncRNA from 2 species
GCUGUUCACCACGGGAGUCCGGUGUAGCGCCGGGCUGAGAGGAGGGCUCGCAGCCCUCGACCGUCGAACCUGAUCCGGGUCAUGCCGGCGCAGGGAGAGAGGACGAACAUGUUA